CAGGAUAGCUGGAACUCUUGCAGUUAUAUUCGGUAAAGCUAAUGAUUAGAGGCCUUGGGGACGUAAUGUCCUCAACCUAUUCUCAAACUUUCAAUGGAUAUGGCGUCGCAGUUUCUUUAGUGAACUGCGGCGUGAAUGCGAGUUCCAAGUGGGCCAUUUUUGGUAAGCAGAACUGGCGCUGUGGGAUGAACCAAACGUGGAGUUAAGGUGCCUAACUUCUCGCUUAUGAGACCCCAUAAAAGGUGUUGGUUGAUAUUGACAGCAGGACGGUGGCCAUGGAAGUCGGUACCCGCUAAGGAGUGUGUAACAACUCACCUGCCGAAUCAACUAGCCCUGAAAAUGGAUGGCGCUUAAGCGAGAGACCUAUACUCCGCCGUCGCGGCAUGUGCGUUGUCUAGCGCCAGGUCGCGACGAGUAGGAAGGACGUGGCGGUUGCGUUGAAGGCUAUGAGCGUAGGCUUCGGCUGGAGCUUCCGUCAGUGCAGAUCGUAAAUGGUAGUAGCAAAUAUUACAAGUUCGAUCCUUUGAAGACUGAAAGUGGAGAAAGGGUUCCACGUGACAAGUAGUUGGAAUGUGGGUCAGUCGAUCCUAAGGUUACUGGCGAAAAGCCUUGUAUCAUCGGUGGCGAAAAAGCUUGCUUUUUGUCCCCGCCCGUCGAAAGGGAAUAGGGUUAAUAUUCCCUAACUGAGAUGCAAAGAUUGUGUUCUUCGGAGCACAAGCGCGGUAACGCGUUCGAACUUGGUAAGUCGCUCAGAGACCGAGCUAGAGUUUUCUUCUCUAGUUAAGGAACGGACUCCCUGGAAUUGGUUCAGCCAGAGAUGGGGACGUUGUUUCCGAAAAGCACCGCGGUUUCUGUGGUGUCUCGUGCUCUCUGAACGGCCCUUUAAACACCAAGGGAGGCUAUUAAUUUGCACUCAAUCGUACCGAUAUCCGCAUUAGGUCUCCAAGGUGAACAGCCUCUAGUCGAUAGAAUAAUGUAGGUAAGGGAAGUCGGCAAACUAGAUCCGUAACUUCGGGAAAAGGAUUGGCUCCAGUGGUCGGAACGGUUGGCCAGUUGGUUGAUGCUUGUCCGGCGCUGUUCUGUCUGCUUGAUGCUUUCGGGCUGAUGGCGGCCUAGUGAUAGUGCUUGCUUGUUGACGCUUUCUGGUGUGUGCUUUGACCUCGGUCUUAGU
rnacentral:ncRNA from 1 species